rnacentral:piRNA from 1 species
UGAAAAUUAGAAUGAAGAUAAUCUACAAAGAC